AGAGUGAACGCUGGCGGCAGGCCUAACACAUGCAAGUCGAACGGCAGCACAGCAGAGCUUGCUCUGUGGGUGGCGAGUGGCGGACGGGUGAGGAUAGCGUCGGAAUCUGCCUAUUUGUGGGGGAUAACGUAGGGAAACUUACGCUAAUACCGCAUACGACCUACGGGUGAAAGCGGAGGACCUUCGGGCUUCGCGCAGAUAGAUGAGCCGACGUCGGAUUAGCUAGUUGGCGGGUAAAGGCCCACCAAGGCGACGAUCCGUAGCUGGUCUGAGAGGAUGAUCAGCCACACUGGAACUGAGACACGGUCCAGACUCCGUACGGGAGGCAGCAGGUGGGAAUAGUUGGAACAAGUGGGCGCAAGGCCUGAUCCAGCCAUGCCGCGUGUGUAGAAGAGGCCUUAGGUUGUAAAGCUAUUUGUACGGAAGAAAGCGACGGAUUAAGUACCCUGGCGUACAGUACG
rnacentral:rRNA from 1 species